AAACACAUCAGGAAACAGAACAGUGACAAUCAGCUAAACCUUUGCAGAAAUAAUUUUGCUGUUCAUGUGUGAUCAACAUGCAUCCAUGCAUGUAAUAUACAGUUUCCUGUUGGCAUGAAACAGACAGAACACGCCCUGAAAACAUCAAAUACACCAGCAGAGGUCCUCCUCUUCCUGCUACAGGCUGCUGCUGCUUCUGCUGCUGCACCUUAAAAUAUCAAAAGUACUCAUUCUGCAGGACGUCCUCUCUAAAAGCCACAGUCCAGCUAAAUGAAGGACUUACGUCUCUGUUAACAUGUUGACAUGCUGCGCCCUCCUCCUCUACCUGCCGCCUGUUUUCAUGGCCAGACAUUGUCACGCCUCAUGUUGCAGAUCACAGACAGGAUCAUCCGACCCUCCAGAUCGUAGUCAGACACUCUCCAUGUGCUCGGACUCAGUCGUCCAUCAGAACGGGCUGAGGGCAGCGAGAGGGGCAAACACAGGACAGCCACCCUCUUUAAACAUCGACUACUUUUGACCCACAUCUGCAUCCAAAUAGAAGCACGAGGCGAGCAGCAGUCUAUAUUACACAAUAUCAAGGAUGUCUGUCCAU